rnacentral:tRNA from 1 species
UCCUAGCUGGCUCAGAUGGUAAAGAAUCUGCCUGCAAUGCAGGAGACCUGGGUUCGAUCUCUGGGUUGGGAA